UACGUAGGGGGCAAGCGUUGUCCGGAUUUAUUGGGCGUAAAGAGCGUGUAGGCGGUUAGGUAGGUCCGUUGUGAAAACUCGAGGCUCAACCUCGAGACGCCGAUGGAAACCAUCUGACUAGAGUCCGGAAGAGGAGAGUGGAAUUCCUGGUGUAGCGGUGAAAUGCGCAGAUAUCAGGAGGAACACCGGUGGUGUAAACGGCUUUCUGGACCAUAACUGACGCUGAGGCACGAAAGCGUGGGUAGCAAACAGG
rnacentral:rRNA from 1 species